UGGGGAAUUUUGGACAAUGGGGGAAACCCUGAUCCAGCCAUCCCGCGUGUGCGAUGAAGGCCUUCGGGUUGUAAAGCACUUUUGGCAGGAAAGAAACGUCAUGGGUUAAUACCCCGUGAAACUGACGGUACCUGCAGAAUAAGCACCGGCUAACUACGUGCCAGCAGCCGCGGUAAUACGUAGGGUGCAAGCGUUAAUCGGAAUUACUGGGCGUAAAGCGUGCGCAGGCGGUUCGGAAAGAAAGAUGUGAAAUCCCAGAGCUCAACUUUGGAACUGCAUUUUUAACUACCGGGCUAGAGUGUGUCAGAGGGAGGGGGAAUUCCGCGUGUAGCAGUGAAAUGCGUAGAUAUGCGGAGGAACAACGAUGGCGAAGGCAGCCUCCUGGGAUAACACUGACGCUCAUGCACGAAAGCGUGGGGAGCAAACAGG
rnacentral:rRNA from 1 species